rnacentral:rRNA from 1 species
UACGUAGGGGGCAAGCGUUAUCCGGAUUUACUGGGUGUAAAGGGAGCGUAGGCGGCUGUGUAAGCCAGAAGUGAAAGCCCGAGGCUCAACCACGGGACUGCUUUUGGAACUACAUGGCUUGAUUGCAGGAGAGGCAAGUGGAAUUCCUAGUGUAGCGGUGAAAUGCGUAGAUAUUAGGAGGAACACCAGUGGCGAAGGCGGCUUGCUGGACUGUAAAUGACGCUGAGGCUCGAAAGCGUGGGGAGCAAACA